UACGUAGGGUGCAAGCGUUGUCCGGAAUUAUUGGGCGUAAAGAGCUCGUAGGCGGUUUGUCGCGUCUGCUGUGAAAAUCCAGGGCUUAACCCUGGACCUGCAGUGGGUACGGGCAGACUAGAGUGCGGUAGGGGAGAUCGGAAUUCCUGGUGUAGCGGUGAAAUGCGUAGAGAUCGGGAAGAACAUCGGUGGCGAAAGCGCUCUACUGGACCGCAACUGACACUCAGGGACGAAAGCUAGGGGAGCGAAUGGG
rnacentral:rRNA from 1 species